GCCUCCGAGCCGAGCCGAGCCGAGCCGCAGCGCCCCCCCGCGGCCCGAGCCGCCCCCCGCGCCGCCCCCGCGCCCCGAGCAUUGGGGGGGGGCGUGGGAAACGCGCCCCGCUUCGGGCCCCGGGAUGCUCAAAGCAGAAAGGAGGAGCUGGUGCCCCCAAAAAAGGGAGCCCGCAAGGGAAAAACAGCCUCUGUGUGCUGUCAUUCCCUGGGGUAUUUCAGGUACCUGUCAUUCCAGGUACAGUCCUCUGGGCAGAUGCACGCAGAGCUGCUCAGGAGGAGGAUGCUGGCCAGAUGCUACACGGCCUCCUCCUGCCCAGGAACCCCCGCGACAGCUCUUGGAGACACCAGGAGAAGAGCCAGGACUUCGGGGCAUGCAUUCAGAGGCAUGAAAUGACAUGUAACUGGAAGACUGGGGAGACCUGGGCAGGAAUAUCUGUGGUCUGCAUCCCAAAUCAAACCUGGCCCUUUGGCAGCUGGGAUCCAGUGGAGCAUCCCCAAAAAACAUCCCUUGCUCAGUGCCCACCUGAUCAGGGUGAUGUUACGGUCUCACAUGGCAGGACAGUUGUAUCACAGGGUGUAUCCUUAUUUCCCAGGAAUGCGAUGGCUUCCUUAUUCCUCCCUGUGCUCAGACACGCUGUGCUUGCAUCUGUCUGCAGUUUAAAGUGCCAAGUACAUCCCUGUGGCACCAUCAGUCUGUCUCCUAUCCUUAAAGGACCUUCGUUUAGAGUUUGUUCUUCCCUGGUGAAAAAAUUUAGCUGUACCCCCCACACACACCACCACCACCACUGUGAGGAAUAAAUGGUACGCUUGAGUUAAAAAAACAGUGGAGAUGAAGCAUCUCAGUGGGUGAAGUGGCUGAGAGCAUCCCUCAGGCCGGCACAAAGGAGGACCCUGACAAGACAGGCUCUGGCAGCUUUAGCUGUGGUGGUUUAGGGAUGGAGAAAUCUCACUGCUGAUGUUUCCCUCUCAUUUACUCCAGCGCAACUACCCAGACACCUUGUACCCCCCCAGCACUUCAGCCACUGACUUUCAGAAAGCAGCAAUGCCGCUUGUCAUGUCCAACGGCACCACCAGCAGACCCCUGAUGUCAGGGGCUUACAUGGGAGGCAGCCUUUCACUGCCCUCAUUUUACACUAGAGCUUGAAAGGACCCUCUGGCUAUAUUAAAACAGUGCCAUAACUGCAGAAGCCCAAAUUCAUGCAAGAUAUUAAUCGGACUGCCAAGACCUAUUAUAUGAAAAAAGCAAAUCCGUGCUGGCAUUGAGUUUCUCCCCUCAGUAGAACAUUUUAGCAAACAAUUAUCACGCCGAGCGCUUGACUUCUGGUCGCGGAGCUACUGCAGUCUAAAAGACAAUUCAUGCUAUUAUCACACCUAAUUAAAAGCUACUUAGCUGCAGAAUGUGGACUCCACUUUAUUUUUAGAUUCCAUGCAGAGGUGAAAUUAUCUGCUGGAGAUAAUUCACCUAAACUUGUUUUUCUUAAGCAUUUGAGAGAGAGAUUUGUAGCCCAUACAAAUAAGCAGUGAAAUAUUUCAUGACUCCAACAAACAAAAACGUGCUGAUUCCACUGUAAAGUGUAAAAGGAAGCAAUGAGAAGCAGUGGGUGACUUUAACAAUCUGGGCAGAGCACUUUCCAGAGCUGUUUCAAGCAAAAACCACUGUCAGUGCGUUUUAGAGCAAGCUGCUGCAGCUGCAGAGAGGUGGCAGAAUAGCCUCACACAUAGACCUGCAAAUACAAUGCAGUGAGGAACCCGUGGCCCAGAGCAGCCUGUGAGCGAGCGGGGCAUGAUCGGGGCUGGAUGUGACCCUGGUGGGGUUGGCAGCCACACGUCAUGGCCAUGAUGAGCCCCCCAAGCCUUCCUUCCCCUGUCAUAAGGGCAAGGGUGGGAGGCACCCAGGCUUCAUUCAAACAAGCACCCCAAUGCGUGAAAUAUAUACUCUGCUUUAGGCAAUAAACCACUAUGCCCGUGGGCUGAAGCGUAGCAUAGCUAUUAGUUUAGACUGCAUACAUUGAAAAAAAAAAAAAAAAAAAAAAAAAAAAAAAA